CCCUGCUCCCGGGCCAGGGUAGGCCGUACCACUCACCAGCUUCUCAAUGUUCACCAAACCAUCGACAAGAGUCUUACUCCCCUCAUGCAGGAAAGUCAGGUCUAGGGGAGGGAAGAGAAGCAAAUGUGAGGAAGAAGAGAGGAGGUCCAAAGGGCCCUUCCCCUCCCCCACGACCCCUCAGUGUGGGGCUCCUCUCCAGUGGGCAUUCAGAGCUAAGUGACAGUGGUUGAUAGCCAGAACUGGGGCACAGAGACUGUGGCCAGAAGAGCAUGGGAUUGACUCUCACCUUUGAGGAUCAGAGGCACAAAGGGAAUCACAGGAGGUUUCAUCUUGGAGAUGACUUCUCGGUAGCUUUUGUGGUUCCUGCAGGGGUCCUGGCAUUCCACAGAAGAGAGGUUAGGGGACACAUAGUCCCAGCGUACCUCAAAGAUGCCCCCUACUCCUCCCUCAUCCCCCUGCCCUAGAUCCAUCUCUGAUCAGAGAGAGGUAUGUAUGGGUGUCUAGCUGGGGGUGAGAUGGGGAGGAGCUUGACUGUCCUCCCCUCACCUCCAAGGCAAACAGGGCAGCAAUCCACCCACCCUUCCCCCUCCCAGCAUGCCAGGGGAAGGGUCUUGGGCACUAAAAACCUUAAAGGCAAGCUUGAGGAGGAAGGUUUGUGGGAACAGAGGGUCUCUGGGGUGCAAGCCCAGGGGCAGAUAAAAGAGCUGAACCCACUCACUGUCAGGUUCUCAAAUUUGCGGAACAAAUUCUUGAAUUUCCCGGGCAGCUUCUGCAGAGGUUUGAAGGAAGGAGAAGGAAUGUCAGACUGGAGCUCCUUGCGUUUCAGGGCAGCUCUGGCUAAUCCCCAGGUGUCAGAGGGGGAAAGGGCCCGGCUAUCUUGCAAGGGGCUGGCAAGCUGGUCUGGUGGGUAGGGAAAUAGAAUCAGCCCGUAGUGAGGUCUGGGGAGCUUGAAGCAGCCCGGAGGAAUGAAUUAUUCUGGGGAAUUCGAGCCUCUGCGUUGGCACUGCUACGCACAAGGGGCCUCACUGAGCGCUGGCUGGAAUCCAGCAUCCAAGUCUGAGACCUGGCCUGGGCUGCCUGCCCCCCUCUCCGGCGGGGAUUCCGUCUUUUUACUAAUUUGCACAAGGACAGGGCGCAUUAACCUAGCGGCGUGGCCCGGGCCUGGAUCUGCCAGAAGAGGGCGCCUCCUUCCGCCUGGCACAAAGGCUCCCUAAGGGCCAGCCGCACCGCGGGAGGCAGCACCGGGGUGAGCCCGGCAGGCCAAGAUCCCCCGAGCCAGGCCAGCCCAGGCGGGAGGAGAGGAAAGGGCAGCCAUGCAUCACCUCCCAGAUUGGAGACGUAAGGCUUAGAGGGUCUGGGGGUGAAUUGCCCGAGGGCACCCCGCCAGCCACCUUCUAAUGCAAAGUUCAGCUGCACACAUGGCCCGUCUCCAGGACCCCACGUUGGCACAUUUCUCCCUCCAGGCCCCCAGCCCAGCACCACCUUCAGUCCCCACCUCAUGCACACAUCGAAACAGCUCCCAGUGGAAGGCAGUAAGGUGGUUGGCGACGUCCUCAGGCUCCACUCGGUGGAUCUCUGUGUCUCCAGGGGAGACCUGGAUCUCCUCGGGGAGGGGCAUCUGGUGACAGGCAGGGACACAGGGGCUGGCCUCCACUCUGGGCUUGUGAGUUUCUGCCCCAUAGUCCCUCUGGGCCCUCACUCCCAGCCAACGCCUUGUGACGGAGUUCUUACCAGCGCCUCAUAGCUGUCGCGGGUACAGGCAAACAGGUGACUGUUGAUGCCCAGCGUGGUGAAGACACAGUCUUCAGUCGGCUGGAGAAGGACCUUCUCUGCAGGAGAACGAGCUGUUCUGCCUCAGCCCUGACUAUCUGCACCCUCACACACCCCAGCCACUGUCGCCAUCCCGUCUAGAAACUCCUAACCCUGCAUGGACACAUUCUAGACGAAUGGGACUGCUGUUAUCACCAGUUUGUGCCACAUUCAUCUGAAAUUUUCAAAUAAUGAUUUCCUCGGCAUUCA